rnacentral:rRNA from 1 species
AGAAUCAACGCUGGCGGCGUGCCUAACACAUGCAAGUCGAACGAGAAAGUGGAGCAAUCCAUGAGUAAAGUGGCGCACGGGUGAGUAACACGUGACUAACCUACCCUUGAGUGGGGGAUAACCUAGAGAAAUCUGGGCUAAUACCGCAUAAUACCUUCGGGUCAAAGGAGCAAUUCGCUUAAGGAGGGGUCGCGGCCGAUUAGUUAGUUGGCGGGGUAAUGGCCCACCAAGACUGUGAUCGGUA